rnacentral:rRNA from 1 species
UACGUAGGUCCCGAGCGUCGUCCGGAUUUAUUGGGCGUAAAGCGAGCGCAGGUGGUUUAUUAAGUCUGGUGUAAAAGGCAGUGGCUCAACCAUUGUAUGCGUUGGAAACUGGUAGACUUGAGUGCAGGAGAGGAGAGUGGAAUUCCAUGUGUAGCGGUGAAAUGCGUAGAUAUAUGGAGGAACACCGGUGGCGAAAGCGGCUCUCUGGCCUGUAACUGACACUGAGGCUCGAAAGCGUGGGGAGCAAACAGG